rnacentral:rRNA from 1 species
AGGACGAACGCUGGCGGCGUGCUUAACACAUGCAAGUCGAGCGGAAAGGCCCUUCGGGGUACUCGAGCGGCGAACGGGUGAGUAACACGUGAGCAACCUGCCCUUAGCUCUGGGAUAGCUCCGGGAAACCGGAAUUAAUACCGGAUAUGACCUAGGCCGACAUCGGCCGUGGUGGAAAGUUUUUCGGCUAGGGAUGGACUCGCGGCCUAUCAGCUAGUUGGUGGGGUAAUGGCCUACCAAGGCGACGACGGGUAGCCGGCCUGAGAGGGCGACCGGCCACACUGGGACUGAGACACGGCCCAGACUCCUACGGGAGGCAGCAGUGGGGAAUCUUGCGCAAUGGGCGAAAGCCUGACGCAGCGACGCCGCGUGGGGGAUGAAGGCCUUCGGGUUGUAAACCCCGUUUCAGCAGGGACGAAGCGAAAGUGACGGUACCUGCAGAAGAAGCGCCGGCUAACUACGCGCCAGCAGCCGC